rnacentral:lncRNA from 1 species
UUUCACUUAAAUAAACUAGGGAAUUGUAUUUAAUUGUCCGUUAUUUCCCUGUUUUCCGAAUUCUGCUUAAUUUGGUCGGAAAUUAGUAAUUGUGCUAAUUUGGAUUUUCUGAGCUGAUUAAGCGCAUUUAUGGUUGCAGGGAAGUUGUGGAAACAUCAUCUGGAGCAUUAGGAUAUGACGUGACACAUUCAAAGGCUCAAAA